rnacentral:rRNA from 1 species
GGCUCAUUAUAUAAGUUAUCGUUUAUUUGAUAGUACCUUACUACUUGGAUAACCGUGGUAAUUCUAGAGCUAAUACAUGCUGAAAAUCCCGACUCCGGAAGGGAUGUAUUUAUUAGAUUAAAAACCAAUGCCCUCUGGGCUCCUUGGUGAUUCAUAAUAACUUUUCGAAUCGCACGGCCUUGCGCCGGCGAUGGUUCAUUCAAAUUUCUUCCCUAUCAACUUUCGAUGUUUGGGUAUUGGCCAAACAUGGUCGCAACGGGUAACGGAGGGUUAGGGCUCGACCCCGGAGAAGGAGCCUGAGAAACGGCUACUACAUCCAAGGAAGGCAGCAGGCGCGCAAAUUACCCAAUCCCGAUUCGGGGAGGUAGUGACAAUAAAUACUGAUACAGGGCUCUUUUGGGUCUUGUAAUUGGAAUGAGUACAAUUUAAAUCUCUUAACGAGGAACAAUUGGAGGGCAAGUCUGGUGCCAGCAGCCGCGGUAAUUCCAGCUCCAAUAGCGUAUAUUAAAGUUGUUGUGGUUAAAAAGCUCGUAGUUGAACCUUGGGCCUGGCUGGCCGGUCCGCCUCACCGCGUGCACUGGUCCGGCCGGGCCUUUCCCUCUGUGGAACCCCAUGCUCUUCACUGAGUGUGGCGGGGAAACAGGACUUUUACUUUGAAAAAAUUAGAGUGCUCCAGGCAGGCCUAUGCUCGAAUACAUUAGCAUGGAAUAAUAAAAUAGGACGUGUGGUUCUAUUUUGUUGGUUUCUAGGACCGCCGUAAUGAUUAAUAGGGACAGUCGGGGGCAUCAGUAUUCAAUUGUCAGAGGUGAAAUUCUUGGAUUUAUUGAAGACUAACUACUGCGAAAGCAUUUGCCAAGGAUGUUUUCAUUAAUCAGGAACGAAAGUUAGGGGAUCGAAGACGAUCAGAUACCGUCGUAGUCUUAACCAUAAACUAUGCCGACUAGGGAUCGGACGAUGUUAUUUUUUGACGCGUUCGGCACCUUACGAGAAAUCAAAG